UGUUUUUUUUAUUUGAGGGAUUUUUAAAUUGUUUUUUUGGUUUUGGUCCUUCAUUAAUCUAAAAAUUUUGGUUUUAGUCCUUCAUUUGCCACAUCAUAGUUGCCACAUGUCAAGUCGUUAGCCACAUCAGCAUUUUUGAGACAGCAGGGACCAAAACCAACACGAUUUGCAUAUGCAGGGACAAAUGUGAUAUUUAAGCCAAAUAGAAAUAAUAAGAGAUAUGAUGAAUAUAAUUUGGUUGGAGAUUAAUUUGAGAGAUUAUGCGAGAAAAUAUAGAGAUUUGAUUACUUUUUGGAAGAUUUGGUUAAGUAUUAAUUUGGGAGAUUAUGUGAGAAACUCUUGGGAUAUGAAUUGAUUUCUAGGAGAUUUAGUUGAGAAAAUUAUUUUAAUUAUAAAAUAGAACUUUUGUAAAAAAAAGAGAGAGUAUAAAAUAGAACGUUUAGUAAAAAUAAAGGAAACGGGCGCGUGAAAUAAAAUAGGGGUAUGAGUAGUAAAACCAUAAAAAGUUUAAUUAAAAAAAACUAAGAAAAAGGAGGGUGUAGAUAGAAGGUCAGUUUUAUGACUUUUGAGAGAAGCAAAACCUAAUAGAUCUUAUCUUAUCUUAUCUUAAUCUUAAUUUUAUCUUAUCUUAAUAUACUAAAGGAUCAAUGGUUUUGCAAGCUCCAUUUUGAAACCCUAAAUUCUUGCCCAAUCAAUCUCCUACAUUUUUCCAUUUUGACCAAUCACAUAUUGCCACCUCUAGGUUUCCAUUUCAUCUAACCUAAUUUGCUUGUCCUUUGUAACCCUAAUGUUCUAUCAAAUAGUUAAUUGACACCUAUUAUAUGCUUAGAAAAUCACAUGUUGGCAACUAGAAGCUUCUAUAUGGUUGCAAUGAUUCAGCCUGCAUCAAUUCUGUUGGACCUCUCCUUACACCAAUUGGAAGGCUCCACUAAACACAAGAUGACAGCAAGUAAACUAACUGAAUGAGAACCCAGAUUUGGUUCAACCCACAGAUUUCAUCUCUCUAUUAAGAAAGAAUCCCACCAAUUCCCCAAUCAUAUACCCUCAACAUUCUCAAACUCUUUCUCUCACCCUCCAUCUCGUCCUUCACAACCACCACCACCACCACCUGUGAGGAGUGGCCGAGUGAGAGAUUUUCCGGCGGGAGACAGAGAGUUCCGGCUGUGGAAGAGAGUUCCGACCGAUAUAGAGAGUUCCGGUGGCGUUUCGCGGUAACACGGCGGUGGUUGGUGACGGCGGCGACGGCAGUGACAGAGCUUCUUUCUCCUUCUUUCCUCUGGUUCGAUCUUACUUUGUAUACAUUUAUUUGUUUUUUUUUUCCUGUUGCUCUUUUUUUUGUUGGUGAGGAUGGUUGAAGAUUGGAGGUGGUGGUGAUGUGUGCUGGUUAUGGUGGAUGGCUCUAUGAAAGAGGCAGCUCAGUUUCAAUUUUUGGGCUCUCAAUUUUAGGUAAAAGAUGAUUUGUUGUAUGUACCAGAGAAGGUAGACCUAUAUGAAGGCAUGGAUGAAGAAUUUAGAAAAAUAUUUGAGAAGUUUAGUUUCACUGAUGUCGCUGCUUCGGAGCUUACCAGACUGCUGGCGUGCGUUUUGAAGUGCUUUGUGCUGUUAACAAGACUGAGAAAGUCGAAGAAGUUGCUCCUGAGCUGCUAGAGAUGUCCAGGAAAAGACGGAAAUUUGUGCACCUUUUAACAUUCUUCCUUUGGAUUCUGCUGGGGCUUCUUAGCCUAUUAUGCAGCUUGGAGAGCGCAUAGCACACAACAAAGGGAAAAUGACUACUCUACCAUAGAAUUUGACAUCAAAGUUCUGUCGUAGUAUCUGCCGGGCUUCUUAGGAUUUUUGGCUGCAACAUUGUUGAGCUUCUCCUGGUUGCUACAAGUAGAGAGCAUCAAGGAAAAGGUUAUUUUCAAGUGUUGUUCUCUUGCAUAGAGAGGUUGUUGUCUUCUCUAAAUGUAGAAAAGCUGGUGCUCCCUGCUGUAGGGGAUGCAGAGUCAAUUUGGACUAAGAAAUUAGGCUUUCACAAGAUGAGUGAAGAUCAGACAGUAAUGAUCAACUUAACUCAGCUUUGUACCUUCAGGUGAGCAUUAUUAGUUAAGCACUCAUCUUUGUGACAAGGUCAAGGAGUUGGUCUUAUGUCGAAUGCCCUGGCCUGUUGCUUCUCUUUGCCUUCUUUGCUGCAGAGAUGGUAUUUGCUAGAAUCAAUGGAAUUGGUUGGAGAUGGGCUGGAGUAAUCUGGAUCUUCACCAUUGUUACUUACAUUCCUCUUGACGUCCUCAUGAGGUCUGGGACAACAUGAUUGAUAAUAAGUCUGCUUUCACAACAAAGAAGGACUACAGAAGAGGAGAAAGAGAGGCACAAUGGGCUACGGCUCAACACACACUCCAUGGUCUCAAAGUUACAGAAACUAAGAGCAACAACAGCCAUCAUGAAGACUCUGAAAUUGCUGAACAAGCCAAGAGAUGUGCCAAGGCUGACAGGUUCAUUUAUAUAAAUAAAAUGCAUCUUAUUAAUAUGAUAGUUAAUUUUGGAUUAGUAGUUGUAAUUUUGAUCAAUAUUAUUAUACUUAAAACUAUAUGGUAGUGGAUGUUCUAAGAUAGUACAGUACACCAUAAAAGAACAAUCUUAUAAGGCAAAGAACAAUCUGAUCUGAUGCUUUUGCUUGCUGUAGAAUUUUAUUUUGUACUCAGCAUUUGCAGAUUGGAAUCUCAUGGUUAAUCAUUCAUUUAUUCAUAAUUUUGUCUUUAAUUGCAGAUUAAUUGGUGAAAGAUCAGGAUAAUUAUUCAUAUACAUACAUACAUACUAACUGCCUACUUGAGCGUGCAUGCGCUGAAAUUAUAAGAGAAUGAAUUGCAGUGAAAUUUACUCCUUAUUCUCUAGAUGCUGGCUGAUGCAGAGAAAGGAAAAGAUUGUUCAAUAAACUUGAGUAAACUAUGAAGACCAUAUAUAUGUUAAAGAAAUCUCUUUCAGAUUGCUUCUUUUUCGCAACAACGGCGGCAGCCUCCGACAUAGAGGUAAGGACCGGAACCGUCCUCCGGUUCUGUCUCCGACAAUUGACAAAGAAUUUUCCGACAUCGUGUUGUUCAAGCAAUGGUUCUGUUGGAAUCACUGAAGAAGGGAUCAAAUCGUUAGAUCUAGAGGUUAGAAAAAUUGAAUUUGAAGAAUUGUUACUACUACAAUUGUAAUGUUUUUUCUCUCAUUAUUAUUCAUGAUUUCAUUCUAAUUUUUAUUAAAUUUAUUGUAACGCAUUAAACUUUCUAUUUACAUGUGGAGAGAGCACAAGUUGAAACGUCGACGUGUAAUUGUCGUGAAGAUAAAACACGGAGGGAACUUUAGAUUGUAGGAUAUGAUAGAAGAUUAUCAAUUUGGUUUGGGGCCUUAGAUCUAUAUGCGAUAUGAUUGCCUAAAGAGGGACCUGGAGUUUGAAGUUAUCAACCAAAUUAAUGGAAAAAAGGAGCUGUGAUUAUUUUUGAAUUAUUGUUUAGAG